GUCAUGCUCACAUCACAAUAAAAGCAAAGUGAGGAGCUCAGAGUGAGGAGAUCAGGGGAAUCCUUUGCCUCAUGGAGGUGGAACGUUUAUCACCACCAGCCACAUGAUCAGAUGUCGCUCUUGGACACAGUGAUGCUGGGUGUCUGCAGACGAUUUCCAGGGAUGGAUCAGACAUGCAAAAAGAUCCUGUCCCAGGCAAACAGAGAAGCGGUGACUCGAGGAGACAGCAGCCUGAACCAGGAAAAGUGUGUCGCAUCCCACUGAUGAUGAUUUGCUGAAGCAUCAUAGCGCCCCCUGGUGGCCACAUUGGAAGGUCACCAUAUGGUUCCAGCUCAGCUCUGACUCAAAGAGAAAGAUGAAGAAUUCUGUAUUUUUAUUUACUUUUUUUUACAGUUGUUUAACACCAAAAGCCAAACAAUUCUGUAAUAAUAAGAAACAGCAUUUUUUUGGUGUUCAUUGUUAAGUUGACAUAAUUGCCUAACAUGGUGAUAAUCUUUCAUUUUAUUGACUUUAAGCUACUAUCAAAACUGGAUUCAUGCACAUUUCACAACAAGUUUCACAAUUCAUGCAAGAUCACAACUGAAAUUUGAAAGUUAUAAUAAUAUAAAUGUAAUGUAAAUAAUGUUUGUUACAAAACUUUAGAAUCAGAGUUUCUGAACACACCUAUCAGAGAUUCAAAUCUGCUCUUCCAGCUGUGCAUGCUGGGAUGUCUCCCACUGUUUUAACAGCCCAGAUAGCAAAAUAUGAUUGAAUGAACAGUGAAGUGCUGAAUCUACAUUGAUGCCUGACACUGAAACCAAAGUGAGCGCUCGCUGUGUUCAGUGUUGAAUAAACGUCAGAUAUUCAAUCGUGACGGAAUCAAUAAUCAUUCACCCGUGAUCUAAAAGGAUGUCUGGGAUUGAAUUGUAGAUUAUGUUGAUACACUGAAACAAUGUUACACUAAUUAACUACAAGAAACCAGACCUCUUCAUGACAUUUUCUUUAUUUAUACAACAUUUGCACAACAUAAUGUUGUUCUCAACAUGCAAGAAAACUUUUGCUUUCAU